GAUGAAGAACGCAGCGAAAUGCGAUAAGUAAUGUGAAUUGCAGAAUUCAGUGAAUCAUCGAAUCUUUGAACGCACAUUGCGCCCUCUGGUAUUCCGGGGGGCAUGCCUGUUCGAGCGUCAUUAUAACCACUCAAGCUCUCGCUUGGUAUUGGGGUUCGCGGUUCCGCGGCCCCUAAAAUCAGUGGCGGUGCCUGUCGGCUCUACGCGUAGAAAUACUCCUCGCGAUUGAGUCCGGUAGGUCUACUUGCCAGCAACCCCCAAUUUUUACAGGUUGACCUCGGAUCAGGUAGGGAUACCCGCUGAACUUAAGCAUAUCAAUAAGCGGAGGA
rnacentral:misc_RNA from 1 species